rnacentral:rRNA from 1 species
AACGAACGCUGGCGGCAUGCCUAACACAUGCAAGUCGAACGAGACCUUCGGGUCCAGUGGCGCACGGGUGCGUAACGCGUGGGAAUCUGCCCUUCGGUUGGGAAUAACUGAGAGAAAUUUCAGCUAAUACCUUAUAAUGUCUUCGGACCAAAGAUUUAUCGCCGAGGGAUGAGCCCGCGUAGGAUUAGGUAGUUGGUGGGGUAAUGGCCUACCAAGCCGACGAUCCUUAGCUGGUCUGAGAGGAUGAUCAGCCACACUGGGACUGAGACACGGCCCAGACUCCUACGGGAGGCAGCAGUGGGGAAUAUUGGACAAUGGGCGAAAGCCUGAUCCAGCAAUGCCGCGUGAGUGAUGAAGGCCUUAGGGUUGUAAAGCUCUUUUACCCGGGAUGAUAAUGACAGUACCGGGAGAAUAAGCUCCGGCUAACUCCGUG